UGCAGCCCGCGAUUUGUAAAACACGGACUCAGUCCGCGUUUUACAAAUCUUAGUUCGCGAUUUGUAAAACACGGACUCAGUCCGUGUUUUCCCGGUCCAGUCCAGUCCGUGUUUUACAAAUUCAGACCGCGAUUUGUAAAACACGGUCUCAGUCCGCGUUUUCCCGGUCCAGUCCGGUCCAGUCCAGUCCGUCUUUUACAACAUGCCGUUUAGUGGGCCGGCUAUAAUUGUAGUUGUGAUCGUUAUAAAAUAUAUCAACAACAAUAGUAUAAUCUAAUUAGCACCAGCCAAUCAAAUGACAGAUUUAAAAAAUCGUUUGUCUAAUCGGCCAAUCAGCGCUCAGUCCAGAGUCUGGACUGAAUAACCAGGCAAAAUGCCGCUUUUGUGUCAGGCCGUACUUUUCUCCCCUAAACCCGCGAUCAGGCGUGCCUGUGCCCUAAAAAGUACGGCCUGAUACUCAGGUUAGGAAUAGUUGAAAUCCCUUUAAAAUGUUACUUAUGAAAUAAAUAAAUGAAUAAAGACCGCAUUUAGUUUUUUGUAUUAUGAUAAUGAUUUAAUGUGCGUUUGUUGAACUUUUCCAUGCGUAUACGUAUAUCAGCGUAUGAAAAAACGCGUAACUGGACUGCAGCCUUAAUAGUUUCAACCCUCGGAUGGACACUUAAAUAACUCUUGACGAGCUGCAGCAUUUUAAUGCAGGUCAUGAAAUGGUUUGAGCAGGGACGUAGCGACCGGGGGGGGGGGGGUUGUAAACCACCCCCAACUGUGAAACUCAGGUAAAAAUCUGG